rnacentral:rRNA from 1 species
GACGAACGCUGGCGGCGUGCUUAACACAUGCAAGUCGAACGGAAAGGCCCUGCGUUUGUGGGGUGCUCGAGUGGCGAACGGGUGAGUAACACGUGAGUAACCUGCCCUUGACUUUGGGAUAACUUCAGGAAACUGGGGCUAAUACCGGAUAGGAGCUCCUGCUGCAUGGUGGGGGUUGGAAAGUUUCGGCGGUAGGGGAUGGACUCGCGGCUUAUCAGCUUGUUGGUGGGGUAGUGGCUUACCAAGGCUGUGACGGGUAGCCGGCCUGAGAGGGUGACCGGCCACAUUGGGACUGCGAGACGGCCCAGACUGCUACAGGAGGCAACAGUGGGGAGUAUGACACAGUGAGCGCAAGCCUGAUGCAGAGACGCCGCGUGCGGGAUGACGUCCUUCGGGGUGUGAACCGCUUUAGCCUAAGACGAAGCGUGAGUGACGGUAAUGAAUGAAGAAGCACCGGCUAACUACGUG